rnacentral:rRNA from 1 species
UACGAACUGUGCGAACGUUAUUCGGAAUCACUGGGCUUACAGGGUGCGUAGGCGGCUUGUUAAGUAGGGUGUGAAAGCCCCCGGCUCAACCGGGGAAUGGCGCCCUAAACUGGCGAGCUAGAGUGAGAUAGGGGUGUGUGGAACUUCCGGUGGAGCGGUGAAAUGUGUUGAUAUCGGAAGGAACGCCGGUGGCGAAAGCGACACACUGGAUCUUGUCUGACGCUGAGGCACGAAAGCGUGGGGAGCAAACAGG